rnacentral:SRP_RNA from 1 species
GCCAGGCGCGGUGGCCCACGUCUAUAAUCCCAGCACUUUGGGAGGCCAAGGCGGGUGGAUUAUGAGGUCAGGAGUUCAAGACCAGCCUGGCCAACUUGAUGGAACCCCAUCUCUACUAAAAAUACAAAAAUUGGCCGGGCACAGUGGCUCAUGCCUGUAAUCCCAGCCAUUUGGGAGGCCGAGGUGGGCCGAUCACAAGGUCAGGAGAUUGAGACCAUCCUGGCUNNNNNNNNNNAGCCAGGAUGGUCUCAAUCUCCUGACCUUGUGAUCGGCCCACCUCGGCCUCCCAAAUGGCUGGGAUUACAGGCAUGAGCCACUGUGCCCGGCCAAUUUUUGUAUUUUUAGUAGAGAUGGGGUUCCAUCAAGUUGGCCAGGCUGGUCUUGAACUCCUGACCUCAAGUGAUUCUCCCACCUC